rnacentral:snRNA from 1 species
GUGCUUGCUUCUGCAGCACAUAUACUAAAACUGGAGCAAUACAGAGAAGAUUAGCAUGGCCCCUGCGCAAGGAUGACACACAAAUUCGUGAAGCGUUCUAUAUUUUU